UACGGAGGGUGCUAGCGUUGUUCGGAAUUAUUGGGCGUAAAGGGCGCGUAGGCGGCCAUGCGUGUCUUCCGUGAAAUCCCUCGGCUUAACUGAGGACGUGCGGAAGAAACUGCAAGGCUCGAGUCCGGGAGAGGGGGGUGGAAUUCCCAGUGUAGCGGUGAAAUGCGUAGAUAUUGGGAGGAACACCGGUGGCGAAGGCGGCCCCCUGGACCGGUACUGACGCUGAGGCGCGAAAGCGUGGGUAGCAAACGGG
rnacentral:rRNA from 1 species